ACAGUGGACGCGAGCAUCUGUGGCCAAGUUUUUAAGGGCGCACGGUGGAUGCCUUGGCACCAGGAACCGAUGAAGG
rnacentral:rRNA from 1 species